UCGAUUGUACAGUUAAAGACCUGGGAUGAUGUGAAGCACAUAACGGAAAGGGCAGUGUCCAAAACCCUAACUCUAGGAACUGUUUCAGAGAGGUUAAGCGAACGGUUGAGAUUUGUGAUAGUGAGGUCCAUAUUCGGAGCUUCAUUUCCGGUCGCCGGACUUAUGGACUUCAGUUCAGAUGCUAGUGACACAAAGAGUGACCUUAUUUCUGGAACCGUCGACAUUGACAGCAAACAAGACUACCCCGG
rnacentral:misc_RNA from 1 species